UGGAAAGGCGCGCGAUACAGGGUGACAGCCCCGUACACAAAAGCGCAUGUGCUGUGAGCUCAAUGAGUAGGGCGGGACACGUGGUAUCCUGUCUGAAUAUGGGGGGACCAUCCUCCAAGGCUAAAUA
rnacentral:rRNA from 1 species